rnacentral:siRNA from 1 species
UCAGGUGAUCUCGAUUGUGUCUG